rnacentral:tRNA from 1 species
CGGCGCGUAGCUCAACAGCAGAGCACCGAGCUUACACCUCGGCUGUCGGGGGUGCGACUCCCUCCGUGGCGA